rnacentral:rRNA from 1 species
AUUGAACGCUGGCGGCAUGCUUUACACAUGCAAGUCGAACGGUAACAGGCCGCAAGGUGCUGACGAGUGGCGAACGGGUGAGUAAUGCAUCGGAACGUGCCCAGUCGUGGGGGAUAACUACUCGAAAGAGUAGCUAAUACCGCAUACGAUCUAUGGAUGAAAGCGGGGGACCGUAAGGCCUCGCGCGAUUGGAGCGGCCGAUGUCAGAUUAGGUAGUUGGUGGGGUAAAGGCUCACCAAGCCAACGAUCUGUAGCUGGUCUGAGAGGACGACCAGCCACACUGGGACUGAGACACGGCCCAGACUCCUACGGGAGGCAGCAGUGGGGAAUUUUGGACAAAGGGCGCAAGCCUGAUCCAGCAAUGCCGCGUGCAGGAAGAAGGCCUCCGGGUUGUAAACUGCUUUUGUACGGAACGAAACGGCUCUGGUUAAUACCCGGGGCUAAUGACGGUACCGUAAGAAUAAGCACCGGCUAACUACGUG